GCGCCUGUAGCUCAGCUGGAUAGAGCAACUGGCUUCUACCCAGUGUGUCGGGGGUUCGAAUCCUCCCAGGCGCGCCA
rnacentral:tRNA from 1 species